GACGAACGCUGGCGGCGUGCCUAAUACAUGCAAGUAGAACGCUGAAGGAGUAGCUUGCUUCUCUGUAUGAGUUGCGAACGGGUGAGUAACGCGUAUGUAACCUGCCUGGUAGCUGGGGAUAACUAUUGGAAACGAUAGCUAAUACCGCAUAAGAGUAGAUGUCGCAUGACAUUUUCUUAAAAGGUGCAAUUGCAUCACUACCAGAUGGACCUGCGUUGUAUUAGCUAUUUGUUGAGGUAAAGGCUCACCAAGGCAACGAUACAUAGCCGAACUUUGAGGGUGAACGGGCCAAUUGGGAAUAGGACACGGACCAGACGGCGAAGGGAGGCAGAAGAAGGGAAUCUUCGGCAAAGGACGGAAAUCUGAACGAGCAACGCCGCGUGAGUGAAGAAGGUUUUCGGAUAGUAAAGAUCUGUUGUAAGAGAAGAACGAGUGUGAGAGUGGAAAGUUCACACUGUGACGGUAUCUUACCAGAAAGGGACGGCUAACUACGUG
rnacentral:rRNA from 1 species